GCACUGCCCGGUAGCUAAAUGCGGAAGAGAUAAGUGCUGAAAGCAUCUAAGCACGAAACUUGCCCCGAGAUGAGUUCUCCCUGACCCUUUAAGGGUCCUGAAGGAACGUUGAAGACGACGACGUUGAUAGGCCGGGUGUGUAAGCGCAGCGAUGCGUUGAGCUAACCGGUACUAAUGAACCGUGAGGCUUAACCUUACAACGCCGAAGCUGUU
rnacentral:rRNA from 1 species